rnacentral:rRNA from 1 species
UACGUAGGGGGCGAGCGUUGUCCGGAUUUAUUGGGCGUAAAGAGCGUGUAGGCGGUUCGGUAAGUCUGUCGUGAAAUCCUGAGGCUCAACCUCGGGCGUGCGAUGGAUGCUGCCGGGCUAGAGGAUGGUAGAGGCGAGUGGAAUUCCCGGUGUAGCGGUGAAAUGCGCAGAUAUCGGGAGGAACACCAGUAGCGAAGGCGGCUCGCUGGGCCAUUCCUGACGCUGAGACGCGAAAGCUAGGGGAGCGAACAGG